rnacentral:rRNA from 1 species
UAACGUACGGCGGGCUAACACAUGCAGUCGUACGAGAAUGAGGGGGCAACUCCUCUAGUAAAGUGGCGGACGGGUGCGUAACACGUGGGUAAUUUACCUUCCAGCGGGGGACAACCGUCCGAAAGGAUGGCUAAUACCGCGUACGUCGGCGAGGACUCCGGUUCUUGUCGGGAAAGACGGCCUCUCCUUGGAAGCUGUCACUGGAAGAUGAACCCGCGGCCCAUCAGCUAGUUGGUGAGGUAACGGCUCACCAAGGCUAAGACGGGUAGCUGGUCUGAGAGGAUGAUCAGCCACACUGGGACUGCGACACGGCCCAGACUCCUACGGGAGGCAGCAGUGGGGAAUAUUGGGCAAUGGGCGAAAGCCUGACCCAGCCACGCCGCGUGAGUGAUGAAGGCCUUCGGGUCGUAAAGCUCUGUGGGGAGGGACGAAUAAGCGCCGUGCUAAUACCACGGUGCCCUGACGGUACCUCCUUAGCAAGCACCGGCUAAACCUGUGCCAGCAGCCGCGGUAAUACAGGGGGUGCAAACGUUGCUCGGAAUUAUUGGGCGUAAAGCGCGCGUUGGCGGCCGCUUAAGUCGAAUGUGAAAGCCCUG